GAUGAAGUUUGUCGGACGAAAUGGUUAAGUACUCCAAUUUUUCGGGCAGAGGACGCGGGUUCGAAACCCAGAUUUUGCAAAAAAA
rnacentral:sRNA from 1 species